UACAGAGGUGGCAAGCGUUGUUCGGAAUUACUGGGCGUAAAGGGCGCGUAGGCGGUUCGUUAAGUCCUGUGUGAAAUCCCUCGGCUCAACUGAGGAACUGCCUUUGAAACUGUCUGGCUUGAGGCCGGGAGGGGGUAGCGGAAUUCCCAGUGUAGCGGUGAAAUGCGUAGAUAUUGGGAGGAACACCAGUGGCGAAGGCGGCUACCUGGACCGGUUCUGACGCUGAGGCGCGAAAGCGUGGGUAGCAAACAGG
rnacentral:rRNA from 1 species